UUUGCCUAUGAACGGAGCGUGUGGCUAGGGUCGUUCAUUACAACUAUGGCCGACACUGAGCUGCAUCGUGUCCGUGUCGUUUGUCAUAUUUCCUCUUUUACAGGUAAGAACGAGUGUUGUAUUAGGGUUGAUCAAUGUAUAUAUGUGUUUCAAUACUGUAAGAAACAUGCGGGAGUAGAUGUUAAUGAUGGUAAUCAUCUAGCAGCUAAACGUGAAGAAAUGUUCAUCUAGCGUAGCGUGCAUGCUAGCUGUGUAGCACGUGGCGUAGCCCGUGGGCUGGGCUCAAAGCGGGACGUAAUAGAACACCGCAAGUGCCGGUUUCUCUGUGUGUAUUUGUUUUAUAUUAUAAGGAUAAGGUAAAAGUGUUAGUAUCGCAUAAGCUAAAGAGAGAGUGUUUAAUGUGAAAAGGAAAGAGUCUUGUAUUUUUUUUAAGGUUAUUUUCCCAUGUUGUUUUACGAUGUUGUAAACAUAUUUGAUAUUUUGGUAACUCACUUUAACGACUGGUUCAGGUCAUUUGAGUAAUAUGGAGCCAUAACUGAUCGAAUUGUAUUUGUCUUAAUUGUAUAAGCUCUUAUAAAGACAUUACCGCAAAGGGAAAAUAACAUGUUUAAGUGCGAUACUGAGUGUAUAAAUGUGUUAUUAUGCUUUUCAUGUUCAUUACAACUAUGGCCGACACUGAGCUGCAUCGUGUCCGUGUCGUUUGUCAUAUUUCCUCUUUUACAGGGGCGUAACAUUUGGAGGCACCGCUGGGAUAGUGUGCAGCGUGGUUUAGCGUCUUCAACAGAUGUCCCCCGCCGUCACACAUCCCCUUUAAACAACCCGGAACAUCAGAAGCAGGUGGCGAAUCAGCGAUAGUGGGAGUCCGAUUGUCUGGGGCAGCUUGCAUGUGAUCUGAGGAAUCUGAGUCAGGUCUCCAAUAUGACCCUGGGUUAGUGCAGAAGAUGUUUCUUCACACUGUGCUAACUGGCCUGCAGAAUGACAACAUCAGGCGGGAUCUUCAGCCUUACUUGGAGCAAACUGACAUCGCUGAUGAACUGUUGCUUGAGCGAGUGAAUACAGCAUGUGCUUAUGAGACCGAGAGGCAGAACAAGAAAAAAUUAUCAGGACAACAAAGACCUGUUACCAUCCAUUCAGUGCAGUCCAGCGAAGCUUCUGCUGAAAAGAAUGAAAAUAUACCAACUCAACAAAAGUCUAAAGUUUCCCCAUCUGUUCUUUCCCAGCUUGAGGAAAUUAAAUCUGAGAUGGCUCUGUUGAAAGAUCUUAGAGCUGAAGUGUCUCACAUUAGGGAGUCCAUACAACCACCGCCAGCAGGGGGGGCCGAUGGCGCAUUAGGACUGCAAUUCUCAGGUCAGCAGAUGCAGGAUCCGCCACAGGGCUACUGGUUUUCUGCGGGCUCCAGACACAGAGGAGGAACUGCUCAGUAUCAGCAAAGGUUUGCCCCACAGCCCAACUUCCCCGCAUCACGUCGUGAUCAAAGGAGAAAAUGUUUUAGUUGCCAACAGAGUGGCGCUGAAGAUUAUUGCACGCACUGUUAUAGGUGUGGCAGCAGCGAGCACUUUCUGGCUGGUUGUCGAGCAAGGGGACAGAGACAGUUCGGAGGUGAGGCUUUAAACGGGGGAAGGUCACUCGCACGGGACAGGGAGUGACUAGUAAUGUAGCAAUGUCCCAGCAAUGUGCAUCCUGUAAGAAAGUGUUUUGCGAGUCUACGCCAUGUCAAGUUGAUAAUUUGGCAGCACACAAAAGAGAAUGUCAAGCACUCCCAUGUAUGACUACAAACACCGCUCCAAAGAAGGACAAAAGGGCAAAAAGGGCGCCAUUGGUAGGAGGAAAACACAUUGUUGAUUGCUUCAUCCAAGGCCAAAGUGUUCAGGCUCUGUGGGACUCAGGCUCCCAAGUGACCAUAAUUGAUGAGAGAUGGAAAGAAACACACCUGCCAAAUGCAAGACUAAGAGGCAUAACCGAAAUUCUAGAUACAACACAGACUUUUGACAUACAGGCAGCAAAUGGGGAGAGUAUGCCAUACACUGGUUGGGUCGAGGUAACUUUUAGAUUAGCUUCAGGAGCUGCAUCCAACACAGAAGUUAUUGUCCCCACACUUGUAAUGAAGGGUGGUAAGCUUGUCCAACCUAUCAUUGGGUCUAAUGUGAUUAGGAUUAUUAUAGACAGUGAGCUGAAACAGUCAAACACCACUGACAGGGAAGGGUUAAGUAGAACAGUAAGGGCAGCCUUUCCAGGACAAGCAGCAGCCUUUGUGGAGCAGGUAACUGCUGCGGUAGAACAAGUCAGCACCACACUAGGGGAUGAGUAUAUCGUCAGGACAAAAAGGGGGAGGAUUAACAUACCAAAACGCACAUCAGUCAGAGUUGAGUGUCAUGUAAACAUGGAUUCUCCACAUGAAGACAACAUAUUUCUCUUCGAGCCAGAUGUGAACCCCCGCUGGGCAGAGGGACUUGAACUAUGUGACAUGCUGGUGAAAGUAGAUAAGGACAGAAAAAAACCCUCUAUUAGUGUAAGUGUGCAGAAUAUUACAGACCAUGACAUGAUGUUACCAGGGAAAACUGUAGUCGGGACUGUCCAGCAGGUCCAAACAGUCUACCCCGCCUCCAUACUAGAGGGGUCACGCCCUCCGCCUUCAGCUACAACAAAUCACAUCAGCGCUGAAAAGGAUCUGACUACAGGCAAUGUUUGGGAUCCACCUGUGGAUUUGGGCCACCUCAGUGAGCCAGAACGUGAGAUAGUUAGCAAGAUGUUACGAGAGGAGUGUGCCUCCUUUUCAAGAACAGAGGAUGAUAUCGGUUGUAUCGAAAAACUUCAACUCAGCAUUUCCCUGAAAGACACGGAGCCUGUCGCAAAAGCAUACCUCUCGGUGCCUAAGCCACUUUAUCGGGAAAUGAAAGACUACUUGAAUGAUCUCAUCGCUCAGGGUUGGGUGGAGAAGUCUAAUUCACCGUAUGCAUCACCAGUCGUGUGCGUUCGAAAGAAGGAUGGGAGUCUCCGACUGUGCAUAGACUUUCGCGAAGUGAACAGAAAGACCCUCCCUGACCGCCAGCCUAUCCCCAGAGUGCAAGACAUAAUGGAUGGCCUCGGAGGAAACUGUUGGUUCUCUCUGUUAGAUCAAGGGAAAGCGUACCAUCAGGGCUUUAUGACGAAGGAGAGCAGACCCAUAACCGCUUUUGUCACACCAUGGGGUCUUUAUGAGUGGAUCAGAAUUC
ensembl:lncRNA